rnacentral:rRNA from 1 species
CCUACGGGCGGCUGCAGUGGGGAAUAUUGCACAAUGGGCGCAAGCCUGAUGCAGCCAUGCCGCGUGUGUGAAGAAGGCCUUCGGGUUGUAAAGCACUUUCAGUGGGGAGGAAGGCGGUGAGGUUAAUAACCUCAUCGAUUGACGUUACCCGCAGAAGAAGCACCGGCUAACUCCGUGCCAGCAGCCGUGGUAAUACGGAGGGUGCAAGCGUUAAUCGGAAUUACUGGGCGUAAAGCGCACGCAGGCGGUCUGUCAAGUCGGAUGUGAAAUCCCCGGGCUCAACCUGGGAACUGCAUUCGAAACUGGCAGGCUAGAGUCUUGUAGAGGGGGGUAGAAUUCCAGGUGUAGCGGUGAAAUGCGUAGAGAUCUGGAGGAAUACCGGUGGCGAAGGCGGCCCCCUAGACAAAGACUGACGCUCAGGUGCGAAAGCGUGGGGAGCAAACAGGAUUAGAUACCCUUGUAGUC